rnacentral:rRNA from 1 species
CCUACGGGUGGCAGCAGUGGGGAAUAUUGCUCAAUGGACGAAAGCCUGAAGCAGCCAUGCCGCGUGCAGGAAGAAGGUUCUAUGAGCUGUAAACUGUGUUUGUACGGGGGUACGUUCAGAUACGUGUAUCGGGUUGAAUGUACCGUACGUAUAAGGAUAGGCUCACUCCGUGCCAGCAGACGAGGUACUACGGAGGAGUCAAGCGUUAUCCGGAUUUAGUGGGCGUAACGGGUACGUAGGCGGUUCGAUAAGUUAGAGGUGAAAUCCCGGGGCUCAACUCCGGCACUGCCUCUGAUACUGGCGGACUAGAGUUUAGUUGCGGAAAGCGGAAUGUAUGGUGUAGCGGUGAAAUGCAUAGAGAUCAUACAGAACACCGGUGGCGAAGGCAGCUUUCCAGACUACGACUGACGUUGAGGCACGAAAGCGUGGGUAGCAAACAGGAUUAGAUACCCGUGUAGUC